AGAGUUUGAUCCUGGCUCAGAACGAACGCUGGCGGCAUGCCUAACACAUGCAAGUCGAACGUGACCUUCGGGUCUAGUGGCGCACGGGUGCGUAACGCGUGGGAACCUGCCUUUAGGUUCGGAAUAACUCAGAGAAAUUUGAGCUAAUACCGGAUAAUGUCUUCGGACCAAAGAUUUAUCGCCUUUAGAUGGGCCCGCGUUGGAUUAGCUAGUUGGUGGGGUAAAGGCCUACCAAGGCGACGAUCCAUAGCUGGUCUGAGAGGAUGAUCAGCCACACUGGGACUGAGACACGGCCCAGACUCCUACGGGAGGCAGCAGUGGGGAAUAUUGGACAAUGGGCGAAAGCCUGAUCCAGCAAUGCCGCGUGAGUGAUGAAGGCCUUAGGGUUGUAAAGCUCUUUUACCCGAGAUGAUAAUGACAGUAUCGGGAGAAUAAGCUCCGGCUAACUCCGUG
rnacentral:rRNA from 1 species